rnacentral:rRNA from 1 species
UACGGAGGGUGCGAGCGUUGUCCGGAAUCAUUGGGCGUAAAGGGCGCGUAGGUGGCCCGCUCAGCGUGCGGUGAAAGCCUGGGGCUCAACCCCGGGUCGGCCGUGCGAACUGGUGGGCUGGAGCACUGUAGAGGCAGGCGGAAUUCCGGGUGUAGCGGUGGAAUGCGUAGAGAUCCGGAAGAACACCGGUGGCGAAGGCGGCCUGCUGGGCAGUGGCUGACACUGAGGCGCGACAGCGUGGGGGAGCAAACAGG